AUGCUUGUUUUGAGAGCACAGACUUAAAAAUUGGAACGAAACAGAGAAGAUUAGUAUGUUCCCUGAGCAAAAGUGGCGUGCAAAUAUUUUCAAAAAGAAAGAAAUCAU